AUGGUGAUGUUGAAGAUGUUGAUGGAGAUUGACCUCCCCAAGAUGGGAGAGUUGUUGGUGAUGAUGGUGACGAUGAUUUUCCCCUCCGGGAGGGAAGUUCCCCCGGCGGAAUCGCUUCGCCGGAGGGCAAAAGUGCUCCUGCCCAAGUUACGCCUUGAGACGGCGGCGCUCCGUCCCAAAAGUCUCAUUCUUAUUUUUUCCAGGUCAAAAUCACUUAUAUACCCGAAGAUGGGCACCGAAGGUGGGCCGAGGGGGCCACAACCCACCAGGGCAUGCCUGGGGGGCCCGGCACACCCAGGUGGGUUGUGCCCACCUGGUGGCCCCCUCUGGUGGUUAUUGGCUUCAAUAUUUCUUAAAUAUUCCAUAAAAAAUCUCUGUGAAGUUUCAGCUUAUUUGGAGUUGUGCAGAAUAGGUGGCAUGGCGUAG
rnacentral:rRNA from 1 species